UACGUAGGUGGCAAGCGUUGUCCGGAUUUAUUGGGUUUAAAGGGUGCGUAGGCGGCUUUGUAAGUCAGUGGUGAAAUAUGGCAGCUCAACUGUCAAGGUGCCAUUGAUACUGCAGAGCUUGAGUACAGAUGAGGUAGGCGGAAUUGACGGUGUAGCGGUGAAAUGCUUAGAUAUCGUCAAGAACACCUAUAGCGAAGGCAGCUUACUACACAAUGAUUGACGCUGAGGCACGAAAGCGUGGGGAUCAAACAGG
rnacentral:rRNA from 1 species